CACCGGCGGCUCGAGUGGUGGCCACUUUUAUUGGGUCUAAAGCGUCCGUAGCCGGCUUGGCAAGUCCCCUGGGAAAUCUGGCGGCUUAACCGUCAGGCGUCCAGAGGAUACUGCCAGGCUUGGGACCGGGAGAGGUGAGAGGUACCUCAGGGGUAGGGGUGAAAUCUUGUGAUCCCUGAGGGACUACCAGUGGCGAAGGCGUCUCACUAGAACGGGUCCGACGGUCAGGGACGAAAGCUGGGGGCACGAACCGG
rnacentral:rRNA from 1 species